rnacentral:rRNA from 1 species
UAGGGAGCGAGCGUUAUCCGGUUUUAUUGGGUGUAAAGGGUGCGUAGACGGGUAUGCAAGUUGGUUGUGAAAUCCCUCGGCUUAACUGAGGAACUGCAACCAAAACUGUAUAUCUUGAGUACAGGAGAGGUAAGUGGAAUUCCUAGUGUAGCGGUGAAAUGCGUAGAUAUUAGGAGGAACACCAGUGGCGAAGGCGACUUACUGGACUGAAACUGACGUUGAGGCACGAAAGUGUGGGGAGCAA